AAGAAAUGCAUGUGUGAAUCCCUCACAUGUGCAGUUCGCAGUAGGGUUCAGUCCCCUACCAGAAUCUAAUCCCACUGCAGAUCUGACAGGAGGCACUGUUCAGGCCACAAUACUUGCUGGCCCACUGCUCACCUCCUGCUGUGUGGCCUGGUUCCUAAGAGCCCACGGACUGGUACUGAUAUGGGUUUGUGGCCCCAGUGUUGGGGACCUCUGUCUUAGAUGACCUGAAAGAAUGCAAAGUGAAAGGAUCUGACUUGAAUUCUGCCUAUCAAAACACAGCCAAUUUCCCCCAAAUUAGCCUUGAUCAAUAUAUCUAAUCCACAACGAAUUCAACUGAAGCCACAAUCAUGACAGACUACAGUUUGUGGGGCCUGGUGCAAAAUGAAAAGGCAGGGCCCCUUGCAGAGUUUCAAAAUGGCAACAGCAGGGCAUUAAACCACAUAUGGGCCCUUCUGAGCAUGGCUCCCUGUCUGAUAGCACAGGCCUCACCCCCAUGAAGCUGACCCUGUUUGUUGUUCUAAAAAUGGGGCCAGUGUCAUUCAAAAGAUAGCAGGAGAAAAAAAGCACCAUCUACUAAAGUCCCAAGUACAUAGCAGAUGCUCAACAAAGGUUUGUAGAAAGAGGCUGAGUUUCUUUAUUUUGCUUUUCUUGGAAAUAGGCCUGACCAGGUGGCAAAUGUCUGUAAGAAAGCAGUUACUUUGUCAUUUUCCCUUUCUAGAAGCUCAGCACAGAUGCAGAGAUCCAGGUCUGGCCUGGGGAAACAUGACCAGUCUGGCUGCCUUUUGCCUUGGAGAUGACGUGGUUAUUAAUACAUAUAUUCAGUUUGUUUGAAAUAUACACAUGCAUUUAAAUCUAUAUAUAAAACCUUUUGGUGGACAUUUUCUCCACAUCCUAUCCUGACAGAAGAUGAUGAUAAACUCAUGCUAGUGAUUUUUAUUAAGGCUCAUUGAGUGUAUUUUCAGAAGCUGUCGCACAAUGAAAUGUAUUAAACAUUUUUUCCCUGUCUGUAAAUGUGAGUAGUCUUGAAUUGCUCAGCCAGGUAAAGUGAGUCCGUGGAUAACUCUUAAAUGCAUUAAACUCCGAAAAAUAUUAGAUCCUUCUGAACAGAUGAGGUUUGGUAGUGCAGCUCAUUAGCAUUUGAACAAAUUUGUGAGACUUUUAAGGCAUGUUGUUGGAUUGAGCUAAGUAGAUGAACACAGUGAAUUCCAGACCCUAAUGGCUCCAUUUAUCAAGGGAGCAGGUUUUAACAUAAUGCAUAAACCUUUCUCACAUGGCCAUUUUACUAUGCAUUUAAUUCUAUUGCAACAUGGUGCUUUGGGCAGAGGAAAUGAAAAACUUAAACAAGGUUAACAUUCCGAGAAAAGACUAGGAAAAAUCAAUACCCCCUCCCUCCCCAAAUAAAAGAUGAUUUACAAAAAUGAAAAUCUAUAUUGAUGACAGAGUCUUAGAGAUGACAAAAUAUACCAGUGAUGGUUUGCGACUAGGACAUGGGUUGUCAUUGCUACCGAGUUCAUAUCCAGUUUCAGGGAUGAUAUUAUGAAAACGUUUAAGUGUGAUUAAUAAAAGGUUAUUAAUUGGUUAAAGACCCUCCUGCGGCUUUGAGAUUUAUUUUGAGGACGAUGAAGAAUUCUAUCUCAUUUACUUCCAGUUUCACAUUCUUAUUGACUUGGAAAUAUUGCCUUUUUUCCUGUUUAUAUAUGCUUAAGAAGAAGAGCUAAAGUAACUAUCUUUCCUCCUACUCAGGAAGAUUUGCCAGAAUUUAACACUAAAACUUCAUCCCUUUGGAAUAUCCAGUCUUUCAAAAUUUUUUGUUUUGUCUAUUAGCGAUUUAAAAAUACCCUAGCUUCAUGACAUUUGCAGAGGCAGCAUUAUGAUUUUGUCUAUCAAGGAGGCAGCCAAAGGCGGAGGGUUUGUAUGGUGCAGGGUGACAUUUAUAGGUAAGAGUGUGUAAUUUUACCAGUGAGCUGCCCAGAGCUACAUCAAAAUGUAGAUUUGUGGUUUCUCUGUUGGGCUACAUCAUUUUCGCCUGCCGGUGCAGUUGUAAAACAAAACACACAAAACAGGUCACUCUUUACAAAUGACUUUUGACUCUAUAUUUAUAUGGCCAUUAAGAAACUAAAGAACUCAAAGUUUUUCAGAUCUACCUAACUGAAUUUUAUGAAGGAAAAGAUAUGCUUUGGUGGAUUCAUAAAUUUAUGAGAUUUUGAGGGUUGUAGAAGAUAUUUCCUACACAUGGCAAGGGUCUAUGGAAAAUAACUUUGAUUUCUCAGGAGCUGUUUCCCUGCUACUUCCAUUAAAAACACUUCACUACUAAUACCUAAAACAACCCCAUAGUUGCUUUUUCUAUCCAAACUAUUGUCCAAAGUUAUUUCUUUAAAAAGUUGAGCCUUCCCCAUUUCCCUGCCUCCCUAAUGAAACUGCUUUUCUAUAUGGUGCUAGGCAGGACACGAAUAUUAACAGGAUGAGUUAUGCUAAGUUAGAUAGCUGAAACUGGAUAGCAUUUCCAUCACUCAGAAACAGAAAUAUAAAGUUGGAGCUUAAGCAUGGAGCUUAGCAAUUUGUCUUCCAUCUUUAGAAAACUCAAAAUUAUUCUUAUGUAGUACAAUGGAUGAACUAAAUAAUAUCCCAAAUAGAAGGAAGAGUGUUUAAAAGUGUUUUUUCAUAAGUGAGUAAAAAUAUUAAAACAUCCUUCUACACAAAAGUAUCCUUUAAAAGUAAUAAAGCCUGAUCGAAAUCAUGGAUAUCAACAGCCAGAUUUUUCAGCACAUCUAGGCAGAACUCAGGGCUCAGGGCAGCUCUCUCUUCCUCUCUGAAUCCUUUUCCUGGUUUUUCCAGUUUAAGUUCGGUGGUGGUGUUUCAUUUCCUUAGUUAUUCUAUAUUUCUAUCCGUUAUCAUACUUACUACAUGUUGCUUCAUUGUUUUCUUAUCUGUCUCUCAACCCAAUGAUAUGUACCUUACCGGUAGGUACAAGAUCUUACUAAAGGCUCCUUUCUUGGUUCUAAAAACAGAAUUGACACUGUUGAUCCCUAAAGAAUAUUUGUCAAUGAAUUAAUCAAUGAAUGACUGAAGGCAACUCUGAAUCCUUUUUGAAGCUUCAGAUAUUUUGAUGAAUGCCAGAAAUGACAAGAAAAUAUUGAUAAGGUUGGAGAAUUUCAAUCUUUACUCUUUAUUUAAGCACAUAGAGGAAUUCUACUUCCUCUUUCAAUAAAAAUCAGCAACACACAGAUCACCAGCACAUGCAUCAGAGGGUUCAUUGUAGAGGCUCAACAUAUAUUCACUGAGCUAACCCCAAAUGCAUUUGAGCUUCUGCCUGGUAACUUGUCGAAGGACACCCUAAGCCACUCUAACAGAGGAUCCUAAGAGAUGGAAAGGAAAAGGUACAAGAUUAUGAAAACAGCAUUGCACAUCUAGUCUGGACUUCUCUACCCAGUGGCAAAUCCAUGCAGCAGGUUAUGAAGAUGCUGGUAGAUUUCCUGCGUAGAACUGUUGAGCCGAAUUAGUUUUCUCUACUGUUCAUGUUAAUGUGUCACUAAUCUUGGACCUUUCUUUUACUGACAGGUUGUAUCUAUUUUUCCUAUUCUCUUUUUGUGGAUUCAACUUAAAACAUCAUCCAGGAAGCUUCCAGAAAGACUCCAGGCUUCUCAGUGGGAUGUUAUCCAAAUGGCUUGAAUCUUUGGAUUUGGCACUAGAAAGAGACAUGUUUUUUAUGUAUGAGUUAAGCUCAAAUUGCAUUUUGAAAUCAACAAAUGUGCUUCACCCAACCACCUCAAAUCUGGGAGAGAUGGCCCACUUGAAAUAAAGGUUAACAACCUUCAAGUUUAAUUCCCAAGUUUUUCUAUCAUUUUCCCAAUUAUACAUUGCAUCAUCAUUUUUUCAGCCCUAUUUAAAUAAGGAAGUCUGGGCUGAAGUUAAAACACAUAGGCAAGAAUUAGCAAGGCUUUCUUUUAAAAAAAAAAAAAAAA